rnacentral:lncRNA from 1 species
UAUUAUGACACAACAUACAAAUCAGAUAAUUCAUUGGUUUAUUACUUGCAAAAAUCUUAUCCUGCUGCACAUUAUGAAGCUUUUUUGAGAUAUCUUCAAUCUACCCAGCCUACCACAGCAACAUCUUCAUCUGCAAUUAGUGCUCUAGUUCCAUCCUCAAUUGCAUUGAGUGGUAAGCUUAAAAAUAUUUUUAUUGGAUCCUUCAAAA